AGUGAACGCUGGCGGCAGGCCUAACACAUGCAAGUCGAGCGGCAGCGGGUUCCCGCGAGGGGAUGCCGGCGAGCGGCGGACGGGUGAGGAACACAUCGGAAUCUGCCUGGUUGUGGGGGAUAACGUAGGGAACUUACGCUAAUACCGCAUGAGACCCUGAGUCGACGGACUGGGGGUGGAAAGUGAGGGACCUUCGGCCGUCACGCGACCAGAUGAGCCGAUGUCGAG
rnacentral:rRNA from 1 species